rnacentral:rRNA from 1 species
GACGAACGCUGGCGGCGUGCUUAACACAUGCAAGUCGAACGGAAAGGCCCUGCUUUUGUGGUGUGCUCGAGUGGCGAACGGGUGAGUAACACGUGAGUAACCUGCCCUUGACUUUGGGAUAACUUCAGGAAACUUGGGCUAAUACCGGAUAGGAGCUCCUGCUGCAUGGUGUGGGUUGGAUAGUUUCGGCGGUUGGGGAUGGACUCGCGGCUUAUCAGCUUGUUGGUGGGGUAGUGGCUUACCAAGGCUUUGACGGGUAGCCGGCCUGAGAGGGUGACCGGCGACAUUGGGACUGAGAUACGGCCCAGACUCCUACGGGAGGCAGCAGGGGGGAAUAUUGCACAAUGGGCGGAAGCCUGAGGCAGCAACGCCGCGUGCGGGAUGACGGCCUUCGGGUUGUAAACCGCUUUCGCAUGUGGCGAAGCGUGAGUGACGGUAAUGGGUAAAGAAGCACCGGCUAACUACGUG